UACGGGGGGAGCAAGCGUUGUUCGGAUUUACUGGGCGUAAAGGGCGCGUAGGCGGCCACCGCAAGUCAGUCGUGAAAUCUCCGGGCUUAACUCGGAAAGGUCGACUGAUACUGCGGGGCUAGAGUGCGGAAGGGGCAACUGGAAUUCUCGGUGUAGCGGUGAAAUGCGUAGAUAUCGAGAGGAACACCUGCGGCGAAGGCGGGUUGCUGGGCCGACACUGACGCUGAUGCGCGAAAGCCAGGGGAGCGAACGGG
rnacentral:rRNA from 1 species